UGGUAGUUUUUUUUGUUUUUUCAGUGUUUCAAUUUUUUAACAGCUUUCAAAAUUGGAGAUAUUUAUGUUUUUAGAUAUUUACUAGCAUUUUUAUGUAUGUACACUUCAAAAAAUGUUUGAACACAGAUAUCAAUUCUAACAUCAGCAUGUAUUAGGUAUUAAUGUUAAAGACUUAAACAAUGUUGAAAUAGUAUCUUUAAAACUAUAGCCAAUUAUAUAUAAAGCUUACAACAUUCAUUCCUCAACUUUUCUUAAGACAUUUUUUAAUAAAAGCAUACCAACAUUAAAAUACAAUGCUUUAAACAAUUUUCAACCAUUUUCCUAAUUCAUGGAAACAUAAUUUAGCACAAAUCCACUUUGAAACCAGGAAAGAGAAGUUUUUU